rnacentral:rRNA from 1 species
GUAAAUAACAAUUACGAAAACAAAAAAUUAUGGCGGUACUUUAAGCUUUUCAGAGGAAUUUGCUCUUUAAUGGAUAAAACACCAAAAUCUCACUAAAUUUUGCGAAAACAGUUUGUAUACACUAUGUAAAUAAUAACUUAUUAUUAUUAUUUUAAAUUUUUAAAUUAAAAGUAAAUUAAGUCAUGGUGCAGCAAAAAAUUUAGGAUGAAGUGAAUUACAUUUCUUUUAAGAAAGAAAAAAUGAAAUUUAAAUUAGGAUUUGAAAGUAAGAUUUAAAUAUUAUGUAAAUUUGAAUAGAGUUCUAAAGUAUGUAC